rnacentral:lncRNA from 1 species
UAUUGCAUAGAAGAAGAUCACAGUAGACUUCAUUAUAUCAUUUCAUCAGGAUACUAGGAACGAUAGUUCUGAGUAAAUUGGUUCUAUACCUAGUAGCGAAGAUGAACCUUUAUUCUCUCGAGAUUAGUUGAGACUUGUUCAGACUGGAGAAUUCGGUCCUGUUCCUCCUUUUCUCGAAAGGAUCAUCAACCAAAUUUUCUUUUCUUUCUUUCUGCUUACGGACUUAAGGUUAUAACCACCGAAGACAUACCUUCUGCUGUGCUGGUGCCUGGUAGGAGACCCUCCCAAUCAUUGCCCAUAUUUUCGAAUUUAGAAUCAAAAAAAAAAAAAUCUUUCUGGUCUUAAAGACCAUAUCGUUAUAUAACUUAUAUCGUUUUUCCUUAAUCAUAAUUUUUUACAAUGGCGGUAAGGCGAAGUAUUGACAAUAUAAAUGUUAAUCUCGGCGAGGUAGUCGUACACUGCACUAUAUGCAAUGAUACUAGCCAGGACACCGACAUUGUAGAAACCCAUUGUAAACACAAAUACCACAGGUCGUGUUUAUCGGAUUGGUUGACAUCCAAUGAGACAUGCCCGAUUUGUAGGCAGCUGUGUUCGUUACCGUUGCGUUCACAAUCUCAAUCGAAUUUACAGAGUGGGGAAAAUGCCGCGGAAAGGGUUAACCGAUCGAUUAAUGCCGCGCUCAGAGCGUACGUUCGUACUGACCAUCGUGAAUGGGAUGUGUUCCUUAGUAGCAUAAACUGUUCGUUGAGAAAAUCAAUACACCAAUCAGUUGGCAUGGCACCAUAUUUCGUGGUCUUUGGUCAGCACAUGGUUUCACAUGGCCAAGAUUACAAAAUGUUGCGAGAAGUCGAAUUACUCAACGAGGGCGAGGGAAAAUUGUCAAGAGCUGACGAAUUUCAGAAGAUUCGCUCAAACAUCGAGAAACACCUGACAAAAGCUUACAAGAGAAAUCAACGCACUUACGACCUGAGAUCCAAGCCUCGUUCGUUUGAGGUAGGUCAAGAAGUAAUAAAGAGAAAUUUUUCUUUGAGUGGCGCGGCCAAUAACGUUAACGCUAAACUAGCUCCAGUUGGAGUGAAGGCUCGCGUAAAGCAGAAAUGUGGCCAACUGAUUUAUCUACUGGAAGACUUGAACGGUAAAGAGCUGGGGAAAUUUCACAUUAAGGAUAUUU